AGCCUGCAGGCCGCCGGCCACCCGGUGCUCCCUGGGCCUCGGGGUCUGCGCCCUGUCCCGCAGCUCCGCCUGGCCCCCUGGGGACCUGGAGUGCCUCUCCACCUCCCAUCGCCCCCCAAGCUCUCGCCCGCUGUCCUGUCUUCUCUGAGCGCCACUGUUCAGCUUUCCCUAGCUUUGACUCUAGACUGGAGCAUCAGAUCUAGUUGUUUCCCGGGGCCCACUGUCUCCCCUCCUCUAGACAACACCAAGCUCCCAAAAUCAGGCUCAUCACUCCCCCGGGAGCAAGGUACAGUAAGUAGGUGUUGGAGGAGUAGGUAAUGGACUCCAUUCUCCUCAUUUAAUAGGGUGUCAGAGACAGCACUGCGCCUCCCUCCCUUCCCCACUCCAACUCCCACAAAUCAAAACAAAAAUCAGCCACUCAGCCUGGCCUCGCUCGGCACAGAGCAUCUAAAAGUAAAAGCCCCAAUCUGGGGUAGAAACGGCUGGCCCUUUCUGCCCGGGCCUAGCUCCUGCAUCUCCAUAACUGCAGGCUAGUCUGCCCUGUGACACUUGAGAACCGUGGGGCCUCCCUCGUGCAGGACACCUCUGCUUCAUUUAGCAGAUUCAAUAAUUCAUUCAACAAAUGUUUAUUGAAUGUGAACUUGUGCAAGGUAGGCCAGUCCCUCUCAGGGUGCCCUAGGCCCACAAGUAGAUGUGAGAGGAUCCUUUGCUGUUCCAGCAGUGCCUGUGCUGUCCCCUGACUGGUCUAGGCCACCACGGUUCCUUCAUCCAGGACCUAGUGAACUGGGCAGACACCUGCAUUCCUGGAGGCCAGGAAGAGGGUGUCAGCCUUGGAGAGGCAACAGAGAGGGCAGUGGAAGGCUCUAGGUGAGCAUGGGGUGGGGUCUCCAGGACCCUUCCCUGGGCCUCCAGGCAGGCUUUCCCCAUUAAUGCUGCUUGUGGGCACUGGGAAAGGCUAGGGUGAGGAGGGGUGGGGAAGGAGAGAGGAAGACAGCCCAAGGUGGGGCGGGACAAGAAGCAAACUGGGGCCAAAGGCGGUGUGUACUUCGCUGUGGCCUCAAGGCUUGGUGGGGAAGAGCAGGCAGGUGAGUUCCCGGCUGCCGCUGUGUCUGUCCACAAGGGGCAGAGGGUGCCACAUGAAGUGCUGGACCAUGGCCGCCACGGAGGAGAAGAGCUGGCCAGGGAGGCAGGGCAUCCGUGAGUCCCAUGAGCCUCAUGCUGGGAGCAAUUUCCUGAGGCAACUGUGGGACUCUGGCAAGGGGACUUUUGACAUUUUUCUAGAUAUCUUCCUUCCUGUUUGCCCCAUGCCGCUCCACUGCCAUUUUGCUGCCCCGUUCCAGGCCUCAGGCAACUUUCCUGCUGCUGCACCCAUGGGCACGCCACUGGCCAGACUCUUAUGUCCAAGGCUAGAUCAAACUGACUCUAGGGUGCGCCUCUGCCCUGGUCCUCCAGCGUGGGGAGCUGUGUGAUGGGUGUCUCUAGUUUGCAUCCUAGCAAAUGCUGGGUGCGACAUUGAGUCCUGGGGGAGGUAGACAAGAGUCUGAAGAUCCUGGACCCCGCCCUCCUCCCAGCUGGGUUCAUUAAAGGCACAAAGGCCCCACCUCGACCCUGUGCAGACUGAGCCAUGGCAGGAGGGGCACCUCCCCCACCAGAGGGCCAGGUGUCUGGAAGGAGUUCAGGGCUCUGGGCUCUGUCAUUUCUGCCCACCCCAGAAAGAUACAAAAUGAAGAUUUUUCCCUAGGCAAAUGCUCUUGGCUAGGCCUGGGGUACUGCUCUGUGGUCCCUCCUUAGGCCCCUGCCUCCUCCAGCUCCCACCUCCUCACGGUUCCUGCCCUCCCGGCCCAGGGCAUAGUGGCGUCCGCCAUCCAGCCGCCGGAUGGGAAUGUUGAAGACCCGGCCUCGGAGAAGCACUGCCAGGGUGAAGGGCUGGGAGCCAUGAGGCCCUGAGCUGGGGCGCACGGUAUAGGCCCCAUCCUGUGGAGGAGACCCCAGCCAUCAACCUCAUCUUCCAAUGGCCCUCCCACUGCCCUGACCCAUGAUGGGGCCAGAACCCUCCUGGCCCUCCUGCUCCCCACUGCUCGGCCAGCCACAGCCUGUGAGCAAAAGGGGUUUUGGAGAAGACCCGGGGUCCGUGGCUGCCCACCUUUUGUAAGUGGAGCAGGGCACUCUCAACAGCAUAGCGGUCACAGUUCCCCGAGUACCAAGGCUGAGUCAGCAGAUCACUGUCCUGUGCAUACACACAGUCACUCAGAAACAUGCCAGGGCACUCAAUCAGGCAUGCGGAGCCGAGGACCCAGGGUGCAGUUAUUUAUGUUCCCAUCUCCUAUGCUCAACUGAGUCCCCCUCAGGCAGAACAAAGUGGUGUCCCUGUCUGGGGCACGGCGGGGUGCCGCACACGUGUGUUCAAUGUGUUCUUGCAGUGGUGCACCCUUCAGCCCAAGAGGGUUCCUGGGUAAGGACUCUCAGGCUCUGCUCCCGGAACCUCUCCCUACAGCCUGCUCCCAGCCCCUCCUCACCUCAGCAGCUGAGGCACUCCCAGUGGGGGCUACAGAGGGAAGAGACGAUUUCCUUCCUUCUAGAAGAAGCAGAUUAUUGAGCUGGGGUGGGGUGGGGUGGGGUGGGGGUGGGCAAAGGUGGCUUCUAGGGGACAGCUGCGGGGGUGGGGGGUAGGAGGAGGCGUACAUGGCCCCGAGCCCAAACCCCGGCACCCAGUGCUUCCUCCACUCUCCAGAUCCAGUGCCCUGGCAGGACCCACCAGCCAGGCCUCGUGUGACCUCCAAAUGAGGCGUGAUCUUGGGGCACAGACUAGGAGCUUCCUGAUUUGGUGCAGGCACCGGAAAAUGCCCAAGAGGGUCCCCUCAGGCCUGAUCUCAGCUGGAGUCAGAGCUUCAGGGACAUCCUCAGUAACUUGGGGCCUGAGGGAGUCUGGCCUGCAGGGCUGGGGCUGGGGCAGGCCCUGGCAGGACCACCUGCAUUCAUGCUGAAGAUGCCUGCAUUCACCUAGUUUUUUUUUUUUUUUUUUAAGUCUAGUCAAGUGCAGUAGUGAGAAGUGGGGAAAGGGUAGAACAAGGAGUUUGAUCUGUAACUGACUGUGAACAAUCAGUUGGGAUAACUCACUACCUUUGGACCAGCCUUUACUCACCUUUAGAGGCAGCAUCUGCUGUUCCCUGGCAUACAGGAGGUCUGAUCAGAAGAGGCCGGGCCCCAGGUCCCACCCUGAGCCUCCCUCCCUGCCUCCCUCUCUUCUCCCCUGACCAUCAGCCUCUUACAUUCCGAGUUUCCUGGGGGGCUGUGGUAGGCCUGUGGGAAGCAAAUCGGGGGACAGAACUCAGGGUCUUUAUGUUUUUCAAGAGAAAGGGCCAGUGAACCCAGCAUUCCAA
rnacentral:lncRNA from 1 species